rnacentral:rRNA from 1 species
UACGGGGGGGGCAAGCGUUGUUCGGAAUUACUGGGCGUAAAGGGCUCGUAGGCGGCCAACUAAGUCAGACGUGAAAUCCCUCGGCUUAACCGGGGAACUGCGUCUGAUACUGGAUGGCUUGAAUCCGGGAGAGGGAUGCGGAAUUCCAGGUGUAGCGGUGAAAUGCGUAGAUAUCUGGAGGAACACCGGUGGCGAAGGCGGCAUCCUGGACCGGCAUUGACGCUGAGGAGCGAAAGCCAGGGGAGCGAACGGG